rnacentral:rRNA from 1 species
ACGUAGGGAGCAAGCGUUAUCCGGAUUUAUUGGGUGUAAAGGGUGCGUAGGCGGGAAGGCAAGUUGAAUGUGAAAUACCGGGGCUCAACUCCGGGGCUGCGUUCAAAACUGUUUUUCUUGAGUACAGCAGAGGCAAGCGGAAUUCCCAGUGUGGCGGUAAUCUGCGUAGAUAUUGGGAGGAACGCCGGUGGCGGUGGCGGCUUGCUAGGAUGCAACUGACCAUGAAGCACGAAAGUGUGGGGAGCAAACAG